rnacentral:rRNA from 1 species
AUGUUACCCAUGGUCAUACAGGGAAAGUGUGAAGCAAUCUGGCCAAUUUUCAGCAUUUCUCAUCCAAGAAGCCGUUACAUUUAUGAUCUUUUCUAUAGAAGAAGGAAGGAUAUAUCUAAGGAGCUGUAUGAAUUUUGCCUGGACCAGGAUUAUGCAGACCGUAAUCUCAUUACAAAGUGGAAAAAUGUUGCGUCAGUUUUGUAUCAUUUGAGCUAG